rnacentral:rRNA from 1 species
CAGUCGCCACGGUAAUACGAAGGGUGCAAGCGUUAAUCGGAAUUACUGGGCGUAAAGCGUGCGUAGGCGGUUCGUUAAGUCUGUUGUGAAAGCCCCGGGCUCAACCUGGGAACUGCAUUUGUGACUGGCGAGCUAGAGUAUGGCAGAGGGGGGUAGAAUUCCACGUGUAGCAGUGAAAUGCGUAGAGAUGUGGAGGAAUACCGAUGGCGAAGGCAGCCCCCUGGGCCAAUACUGACGCUCAUGCACGAAAGCGUGGGGAGCAAACAGGAUUAGAUACCCGCGUAGUCCCUGUCUCUUAUAA